rnacentral:rRNA from 1 species
GUCCAUUGCUAUGGUUUCGUCAUGUAAGUUGAGCGCUGAGGUUGGUACUUGUACCGACUGAGAUGAGCAGCGAACGGGUGAGUAACGCGUGGGGAAUCUGCCUUUGAGCGGGGGACAACAUUUGGAAACGAAUGCUAAUACCGCAUAAAAACUUUAAACACAAGUUUUAAGUUUGAAAGAUGCAAUUGCAUCACUCAAAGAUGAUCCCGCGUUGUAUUAGCUAGUUGGUGAGGUAAAGGCUCACCAAGGCGAUGAUACAUAGCCGACCUGAGAGGGUGAUCGGCCACAUUGGGACUGAGACACGGCCCAAACUCCUACGGGAGGCAGCAGUAGGGAAUCUUCGGCAAUGGACGAAAGUCUGACCGAGCAACGCCGCGUGAGUGAAGAAGGUUUUCGGAUCGUAAAACUCUGUUGGUAGAGAAGAACGUUGGUGAGAGUGGAAAGCUCAUCAAGUGACGGUAACUACCCAGAAAGGGACGGCUAACUACGUGCCAGCAGCCGCGGUAAUACGUAGGUCCCGAGCGUUGUCCGGAUUUAUUGGGCGUAAAGCGAGCGCAGUGUAUUAAGUCUGUGUAAAAGGCAGUGGCUCAACCAGUAUGCAUUGGAAACUGGUAGACUGAGUGCAGAGAGGAGAGUGGAAUUCCAUGUGUAGCGUGAAAUGCGUAGAUAUAUGGAGGACACCGGUGGCGAAAGCGGCUCUCUGGCCUGUAACUGACACUGAGGCUCGAAAGCGUGGGGAGCAAACAGGAUUAGAUACCCUGGUAGUCCACGCCGUAAACGAUGAGUGCUAGAUGUAGGGAGCUAUAAGUUCUCUGUAUCGCAGCUAACGCAAUAAGCACUCCGCCUGGGGAGUACGACCGCAAGGUUGAAACUCAAAGGAAUUGACGGGGGCCCGCACAAGCGGUGGAGCAUGUGGUUUAAUUCGAAGCAACGCGAAGAACCUUACCAGGUCUUGACAUACUCGUGCUAUUCCUAGAGAUAGGAAGUUCCUUCGGGACACGGGAUACAGGUGGUGCAUGGUUGUCGUCAGCUCGUGUCGUGAGAUGUUGGGUUAAGUCCCGCAACGAGCGCAACCCCUAUUGUUAGUUGCCAUCAUUAAGUUGGGCACUCUAACGAGACUGCCGGUGAUAAACCGGAGGAAGGUGGGGAUGACGUCAAAUCAUCAUGCCCCUUAUGACCUGGGCUACACACGUGCUACAAUGGAUGGUACAACGAGUCGCGAGACAGUGAUGUUUAGCUAAUCUCUUAAAACCAUUCUCAGUUCGGAUUGUAGGCUGCAACUCGCCUACAUGAAGUCGGAAUCGCUAGUAAUCGCGGAUCAGCACGCCGCGGUGAAUACGUUCCCGGGCCUUGUACACACCGCCCGUCACACCACGGGAGUUGGGAGUACCCGAAGUAGGUUGCCUAACCGCAAGGUAGGGCGCUUCCUAAGGUAAGACCGAUGACGCGGAAUCAUAGAUUUUGUUCCC